UACGUAGGGUGCAAGCGUUGUCCGGAAUUAUUGGGCGUAAAGAGCUCGUAGGCGGUCUGUCGCGUCGGCUGUGAAAACCCGGAGCUCAACUCCGGGCCUGCAGUCGAUACGGGCAAACUAGAGUAUUGCAGGGGAGACUGGAAUUCCUGGUGUAGCGGUGAAAUGCGCAGAUAUCAGGAGGAACACCGGUGGCGAAGGCGGCCUGCUGGGCUAUGGCUGACACUGGAGGCGCGACAGCGUGGGGAGCAAACAGG
rnacentral:rRNA from 1 species